rnacentral:lncRNA from 1 species
GGUCUUGAAUUCCUGGCCUCAAGGGAUCCUCCUGCUUUGUCCUCCCAAAGUAUGGGAUUACAGGUGUGAGUCACAGUACCCAGCCUUUUUCUAACAAUUUCUUUCAGGGUGAUAUGUUAACAGGAUAUAGGAAAAAGGCUUCACUGUGCAAGACCUCUAAAUACCAAAACAGAGUCGAAACUGUGAAAUCUAUUUCAAUGCAUGAGAGCUCCUGUCGCUCCACAUCCUCAGCAGCACGUGGUGUUCGGUGUUCUGGAUUUUAGACAUUCUAAUAGGACUCAUUAGUUCUAACAGAUUUGUUUGUCAAUUCCUCAAGAUUUUCUACAUCUAAAAUCAUGUCAUCUGCAAAAAGAGCCCAGCUUCCCUGCUGAGGGAAGUGAGGAUAGCGUGCAAGAAGCCCCUGUCCCUGGAGAAAAGGAGAGCGGCUGGUCAAGGACACAGAUGAGGCCAUGCUUUCUGGUGCGAAGAUCCAAAGAAUAUCACGCCGUGAUUCUUCUGCUUCUCUGCAUGAAUCCCAAUCAACCAACCAAUCUCUCUCCUCCUCUCACUCACAGUAUCUUCCUACCAUUACACAGCUGGACCUGGGAUAGUCGGCUGGCCGCAAAGGCCUGGGAGAAGAAUCUGAAAGCUUACACCAGGAUGAGGGAAAGAGAGUCGCCUUACUCUGAAGAGUGAGGGAAGUGAUAUGGAGAAAAUUUUACAGAUAUUUUAGGUCAGUAGUGCUACCUUUAGGAAUUUCCCAGGGUAUCUGGAGCUAAUAAUUAUUGAGACUUCUGAAGGGUUCUGCAGUGGUAAUGAGCUACUUCUCAGUUUCUCUCAUUGUCAGCUUAGGAUUCAACUUUCUUAGGUUACUAAGUCAGUUAAGAAUCAUCUUUCAGCUGUUCAUUUUACCAAAUGCUAUUUCCUUUCUUCUUCCUAGUGGGCUUGUGUCUUUAAAAAACUCAAGUUAGUGGAUUUGGGGGUAGGGGGAAAAAUAUGUAUAUUUUUAAGCUAUCAUCUUACCUAAAAACUGGUUAAAGUACUUUCUUUAGCAAUUUCCUCAAAAGGAGUAUAUAUGGUAAAAUAGUUCUGAAUCCUUAUUUAACUGAAAACAAAUUUGUUUAUAUUGAUGACGAUAUCUUAGCUGGGUAUAGUACUCUUGAGUCAAAUUCUUUCCUAUGUAGCAGACACUAUUCUAAGAUUUCUAACUUCCAGUUUAUAGAGUAUGAACAUAAUCUCACUGUACAUUCCUUGCAUCUUCUUUCUUUUCUUUUAGAAGAUUUAAAAAAGUAUUUGUUUUUUAUAUGCCUAGUGGAGUUACUUUUUAAAUUAAUCCAGUCUGAAUCUCAGUGAGUCUUUCCAAGAAUACCUAAGGCUUUCUUAAGAACAGUGAGAAAAAAAUCUCUAUUAUUUCUUUCAAAGUUAUCCUUCAUUUCCAUUUUUCUUUUCAUGAAACUCCUAGUAUGCACUUAUGUGUAAAAUCUUUUGGAUCUUCCCUCCAUAUCUCUCAUCAUUUUCCACAUGAUUUCAUUCUCUUUACCUUUUUGCUGCAUAUUUUGAGAUACUUCCAUUUAUUCCUUUGAGUCACUAAUUUGGAUCUUAGUAGUGACCAUCCUACCUUCCACAUUGACUGCUGAAUUGUUUUAUUUAGAAAAAUCACAGUUUUUUAGUUCAUUAAGUCUUUCUCCUCUAAUUCAGUAUUUUUAAGUGUUCUUCCCAUUUUUCAGUAAGCACAGUCAUCUGCCUCCUACAACAGCAGCUCUAAAACUGAGCACCACCUGUCCUUAGUGAGUCUUCUAGGUCUUCCUCCCUAGAUGAGUAAUUCUUUUCCUUUUUACAUCAGGGACUCUGCUCAAUAUGCAGGCCAAAGAGUUAGGCAGUGGUUUGCUGGUAAAUGCUUAACAAACAACUGGGGUGUGGGGGAAGGAGAAAAGCCGCAGGGUACAACCAAUUUCUUUACAGUAAAUACUUUCUUCAUGGCUGAUUACAAACUACCAACUUCAAAGAGGAUGGCUUAUAAAGAUGUGCACACAUGGCUCUCACAAGUGCAGCCCAGCUCCCAUGGAGAGAGUCCCCGGAGAGGUAUUCCAAUAGUCUAAAUGCUACCUCAUCCUUAAAGCCUUUCUUUAUUCCCUCAAAUGGAACUGGGUUUCCGGUGUUUUGUUGUUGUUGUUGUUUUGUUUUGUUUCUCUUCUGUCAAGAUACUUUGCUUACAUCUUUACCAGGCACUUACUUUAUCCUGUCCUGUAGUAUAGUGGGUACUUUACAUUAUUAUUUCUCUCAUGAUGUCAGCUCACUAAGAGCAGGUAAAAUAUACCCAUCUUUGAUUUUCUUCUAGAGCCUAUAUCAAUUAUUUGUUGAAUGACUUUAAUGAUUGAAUUCAGUCCAAAUAUCAUAGUAGUAUUUUUUAAAGUGUAGAUAUACUUGACUAAAUUCAGUGGAAAAAAGAGAAGUAUAAUUAAUUAUAUACUUUUUGUGUUGAGUGAAAUUUUUACCAGAAGAUCUGUAACUUCUUAAAAGAAUGAGAUAAUUCUGACAAUUUCUUUCGAUGGGGCUUGGGGUUGAAGUAUAGGAAGGUAUCAGAGAAAUAAGCCCAAAAUGUUCAUUAUAGGCCAAAUGAAAUUAUAGUUCUUAAAAUAUCUUCUUCCUCAUGUUCCAUUUAUUUUUCAGAAUCAAGGGAAACCGCUUUUCAACAUCCACAUCUAAAGAGAUGACAAGAAUAAUUUCUCAUGUAUCCUAUUUUUUAAUUUUAGAAGCAAUCAUUUCAAAGUUUAACUCUAAGAAUCUCUAGUAAAACUGGCUUAGUCUACAUACAAAUAAAUGUGGGAUAAUAAACAUAUACAAUAGAAAAUUUUAAUGCAGUCAUAAAAAUAGGUGCUUGCCUGUGAAUAGUGCCUAGGAUAGCUGAACAGAUGGGAAGCAGAUGGGAAACCCCAAAGGGGCAAAAUGA